AGCGAACGCUGGCGGCAGGCCUAACACAUGCAAGUCGAACGAACCUUUCGGGGUUAGUGGCGGACGGGUGAGUAACACGUGGGAACGUGCCUUUAGGUUCGGAAUAACUCAGGGAAACUUGUGCUAAUACCGAAUGUGCCCUUCGGGGGAAAGAUUUAUCGCCUUUAGAGCGGCCCGCGUCUGUUUAGCUAGUUGGUUGAGGUAAUGGCUCACCAAGGCGACGAUCAGUAGCUGGUCUGAGAGGAUGAUCAGCCACAUUGGGACUGAGACACGGCCCAAACUCCUACGGGAGGCAGCAGUGGGGAAUCUUGCGCAAUGGGCGAAAGCCUGACGCAGCCAUGCCGCGUGAAUGAUGAAGGUCUUAGGAUUGUAAAAUUCUUUCACCGGGGACGAUAAUGACGGUACCCGGAGAAGAAGCCCCGGCUAACUUCGUG
rnacentral:rRNA from 1 species